CUGUAAUCUGUAGGAUUAUAGUGAAAUUCCUAAGAGGUCUUGGGGAGUGGAUGUAGGUGCUGGGGUGCACCGAAUCACUAUAUGUUUGUUGUGUUUGUGAUGCUUUUUGUCAUUGUCUAUCUUGCUCACUUACUUACCUAGAUAAAUUGCCUGCUUAACUCCUAUCCGCGCAUCCUUUAGUUGCAAGCAUAUUCAAUUUACUUAAUCAAGUCUCAUUUGAUAAAUCAACCUAUUGCUAAGUUUAAAUUCCACUGUGCAACUAUACAACUUAGCAUAAUUAAUUGAAAAGUGUUAGAAGUAGCUUAAAAGUUUUAAAAGACCCAAUUCACCCCCCCUCUUGGGUUGUAUCUACUGGGCAACAC
rnacentral:lncRNA from 1 species